rnacentral:misc_RNA from 1 species
UUCCAUCCGCAUCUGUGCUACGCAGCGUCGCGCGGGUCUUUGCUGCUGUACGUGCUCGGCAUCUAUUCCAUCCCCACUCUCCUGCUCUGCCGAUCUUGUCCUCGGUUGAUGUGGACAUGCACCAUAACCGCGCGCACGCACACACACCUCCCACACUCCCCCGCCCCCCUCACUCAACGUCCACCGCUCACCCCACCACCACCUUCCUCGACACAGUAGUGGCUUGUUCGAUUCGCACCUCCCUUUCUCUUGAGCUCUCUACAUUAUCUUUUCUUUUCCUUUUGUCGUCGUACCCUCCCCCUCCACAAUCCGCCUUCUGGGCGGCUGAUGGCUGCUGCGCAUACACGGGGUUGCUGCUCCCACUGCUAGCGUUUUCUCGUUAGAACUUCACUCUCUUGCUCACUCGCUCUGUCGGUCCACCUCUCAAACCUGCGCAGACACACGCGCCGCGUCGCCAUCGCACUCAAAACAUCCGUGCACGCACACACACACACAUAUACGCAGGCCCGCACUUAUCGCCCUUGAUAACUGCUGAGUGCGCCACGUGAGAGCAAGUAUUGUGGGCGUGUUGGUGUUGCGGUGGCUGUCGUGGGCGGCGGUGUCUCCUGGUGGAGCGUGAGGACACGUUUAGAAAGCGAGCCACUUGUGUCUGUGAGUCUAUGUGUGUGUGUGUGUAUCAGUGUAAAAAUCCUCCCUUUUCUGUUCUGCUUCUGCCUCUUUCCCCACUUACCCGCCCCUUCCCCGUUCCUCGAUCGAUCGAGCUUCAUUUGCCGGUUUUUGUACGCUGGUGGCAGACGCUCAUCAUCACCCCCACCGCCCUCGCCACCACCUCCGCAAGUUAGUUGUAUCGUCUACAUACACUCCCACACAGAGAGACACGCGCACUGUCCCCGAUGCGCCGCGCCGAUCUGUCCUCGGCGCCCCAGAGUACCGGAAGCGGUACGGCAGUCGUACAGAGCGACGACGCUGUUGCAGCAGUGUUUCCAGAUGAUCCCGCCACCGCUCCAAUAACACCAGCAGCAGCAGACAUGCCCGUGGUAUCUCCCUCGUCCUCUAUUCUCUAUACACUCUUGCAGGACCUCGGACUGAAGGCGACGGCGCAAGCCCUGUGUAAGGAACUCCAGAGGCAGCAGUCACGCGCCGUAACGCUAUCGCCCCCCUCCGCCCCCUCCCUGCCGUCGCAGGCGAGCGAAGUCUUUGUCGCCCUGUCCCACGGCAACGGCGCGACAUCCCCCAACUCCCUCGGUGCGUCGCUGUUACCACCGCACACAUCAGAUGUAUCUCCCACACUGAAGACCCACGCCCCGGCAUCCGCCUCCGUAGAACCUCUGCCAGCCAGCGUGGCAAUGUCGUCCACGGCGACGGCUGCACAACGUGCGAAUCGCGUGUCAGCCAGCUCGAACCCCACCGCUGACGUCAGCGUGGAACUUCAGCGCAAGAUGCAGCCUUACUGUCACGUCUCCCAGUGCACACGGGCGAUCGCAAGUCUUGCGGCCUGUGCAGCCGAGCCCCUUCUGGCUCUGUCGCCCGCUUUUCCUUCCUCUCCUCCCUCCGCCUCCGCGGCCACUAUUGCCACACCGUUGCAGCUUGUGGACACGCUGACAACUCUAUGGCGCGCUGAGCUGCGCGCCGCUCUCCCGCAUCGCGCAGCCUCUGGGAUGGCCGACGCAGCCGUGGCAGCCGGGGUGCAAAGCCACCGAGAUGGCGCCUUCCAAGUAGCCGCUCUCAUAGCACGCGCGGCAUGGUGUGAACUGCGCAUCACGGAGCUUGUCUUCAUGCAAGAGUUGCACCUCGCCCAGACCUCCGCCGCGGCGACUAUUCCGUCUGCGGCAGCGCAGCCACUGCAGGAGGCCCAACGUGAACUUGUGGAGGUUGCUGGUCAGCUCGUGACGGCGUUGCAGGAACUACGGGCCACAUGCGGCGCUGCCGUAGCGCGGCAGCGUGGUGUGUCUGCUCCUCCAUCUGGCCCCUCAGGCUCCUCUCCCACCCAUGUGGGUGUCGUGAUAGCCUCCUCUAUAGUAUCCCGUCUGCACAGCAAGUCCAUUGGUUGGCUGCGCAACGCGGAGUGUGUCAUGGCGUGGGUGCUGCGUCGCCAUGGCGCCUUUGAGCCAUCGGCAGAUACUGCGCAAGCGUCAUCGAGUGCGCAGCAGCAGCAGCAGCAGCACAAGCGAAGGUGUCUCGAGGCGCACUCGACAGUCGCAUCUGCUGAGCGCUCGCCCGACCCUGCUUGCAACAGCGUCGCUUCGCCACUUCUACAACCUCUACAGGAUAUCAUCCUGGGCCUCUCUACUGCCACCUCAGCGCCUGCGCCGUCCUACCAGCAGUGCCUCGAUGCUGAGAUUGCGCGGUCGGCUGCGGCGCAGGCGAAGAGCGGAGUGGCGCGACAGACAGAGCCGACGCCGGCAGCGGUUGCCCGCGAGGCGUGCGGACUCUUCUCUUCCGUCCGCAUCCCAAUCACCGUGCGGGUGGCGAUGACGGUGCAGCGCGUGAAGCUGCUGCACACCUUAGUUGGUGCGCUUGUGUACAACGGCGGCGACUCCAUCCUCUGCACGUUGGCGGUCUUUGCCGCAGAUCGGAUCCGCCCUUGGUGGGCUCGCCAGAGCGCGAUGUUGGCGCAGUUCCUGGUGCAGUGCGCGCACCAGUCAAGUAGCAUUUUGACGUCGUUCCUCGUGCAAUCGCCUGCUGGUGUGCAGGCCACUCCGCCGCAGCGGCUGCGACUCCUGUCUGCCGCGUCCGAGACGGUCGUACUUUCCCUGCGAGAGCAGCUGGAGGCGUUGGCAAAAGAGGUGCUGCUCUGUGCAUGCCCGGUCACGAGCAUCGCAACGCCAGUGCCGCAGGACAUCCGACUCGCUCUUUGUGUACGCUUGAUGAACGCUCUCCAGCAGGCGCACGACACUCGCUCGGCGCGCCUGGAUCGGUAUGUGCUGAAAACAUGCACCGCCGCAGCAGCGAACGCCGCGAUGUCAGCCAACUCGCCACUCACUGUAGCGGCCGACCUCGUCUUCAGUCCUCUCUCCAGCGCCAGCAGCCCAACGUUCGGCAGCGAAGGCUCGCCCGUCACCUCCCCUGUGUGGACUGUGCGCGUGCCAAGUCCGCCCGGAUCGGAUCUGCACGGGGCAGCCGGGCCGCCAACGUCCUCGACGCUGGUUCACCGGAGCAGCAUUGCCAGCGACACUAGCAGCACGUUCGACUCGAUGGAGGCCGCUCGAACUGCGGCUCAAGUCCUCCAGUGGAAGCCCCACUUCAUCCAGCUCCUCGCCACCAUUGCCACUGGGCGGUGGCAGGCACAGCAUGAUGCACCGCCGGCGCCCUACCCCGGCUCCCGCUACCACCGUUUGCGCCUCCGCAUGAGGGAUGCCCUGCAUCACGCGCAAGAGCUGCUGCGGCUGCAGCCGCGCCUUCAGGUUGGCGCACGCGGUGUCGUUUAUCCACCCCACCCAGCCGUCGGCAGCGACCCCGACGCCGGCGUCCCGCUCUCAGUGGUAGAGCAGAUGCCGCGCAUGCUGCAGCUGGCCACGCUGCAAGACGCACGUGUACUGCAGCGGUGCUUGGAACGUCGACUGGCUCGAGAGACAACGUAUGACGGGCACAAUGCAGCGCCCACAGAGGCCAGCACAAUCGGAGGGAGUAGCAGUGAUGCAGCAGUGGCUUCAGCGGUGUCUUCGACGCGUCGGCGGGGUGUGUCACCUCCGUCAGUCUCACAGCCACUAACGACUGGGCUCAAGAUCAACGUUAGCACAAGAGAGUACCGCAGCGCCGCUUCCGCAUUGGCUGCAGCCACCUCGACGGCGCUCCGGCGCCCCCACAUCGCCACAGAGGCGGAGGAGCCCCUGGCGACACAUCGGGUCGCGUCCGGGAACGAAGGGCGUGCCGCCACGUCUGCCAGUGCGAGGCCACUAGAAGGGCAGAGAGUCACCAGUGCGCGCAGAGAGACGGGUGCGGGUGUGCGCGGCCCUGGCGCAUCUACCUCGCCGACCCCUGGGCCAGCCGCCGUGGGGGAGGAGCACGAGUCAUCACCGCGACUGUCAGGGCGGUCGGAGGUAGUGACCAGUGGUAGUGAGACCAGUAGUAGCCCCAACGAGGAGGCGGGCUCCUCUGCCUCUGACGUCGCGGCUGCCGCCGUGGCCGCCUCGCCAGAGCCGCAGUGGGAGAAUGAUGACGAGGAGCAGGACGAGGAGGAAGAUGCAGCAGAGGAUCCGCAGCUUGACCGCUGGCACUUGCACGACGAGGAGGCGCAAGACGAGCUCGAAGAGGUCGACGAGGAAGCGGCUGCCGUCCUCGACGAUGACGGUGACAUUGACUGGGCGCAGAGCGAAGGACACGACGAGGAAGACGAGGAGGAGGAGGACGCGGAAGAGGUCGGGUCCCAGGCGUCCUCCGCCGACAUGGACUACGAUCGUGCCGAGGAUGACAUGAAGGAGGAGGUGGAGUGCGUCGAGGCGACGCCGGAUGGGCGGCUGCUGGCGCUGCUCACUGCGCGUGGCCGGCUCAUGGUGCUGCGGCUGCAGACUCACGACUCGGCGAGGCACUACGAAGAGGAAGUGCUUAUCGACGCAAGCCUCCCAAACAUGCCAUCGCGUGAGAAGCGGCUGCAGUGGUACGAGUCACUAAGCUCCUUCGUGCACUUCUCUCCGUGCCACCGCUUCGUCCUCGCCGCCGUGCAGUUCGCCGCGGUGGAGCUGAAACCGAACUCGACCUGUGCGAUGGCCCGUGCGCAGAGUGAAGGCGCUGGGCAGCUCAGCAUCUACUCGCUCCAUCGUGAAGACGACGGCGAUGAGGCCGGCAACGACAGCCGUGGUGAUCUUGAGCAGGAAGACCAGAGCAGUGCGCCGACAGCAAUCAGUGGCAUCCGCGAGCGCCUUCGUCGCCUGGUUGGGCCCGCCACCGACCGGCUCUACGCGACCUUCCGUCCUCACGACGGGCCCUGUCUGUCGGCGCGCUGGGUGGACACGCGCUGGUGGGGAGGAGGUCGCCGCAGCCGGUGGGCCAACAGCGCCGUUGAGCCGCUCAACAGCACGAACGCGGCAGCAACGGUGCUGAUGCAGUGCAUUAAGACGGGCGAGGUGGCAGGGAAGAGCGUCGGCGUCCUCCCGUCUGCCAAGGGCGCGAGGUCGGAGCAUAGGGCGGUACCGAAGAGUUGGCGUGCAGCAGCUGGCGUGCUGCUGAGCGAGUACCAGUGCGUCUCCGUCGGCAUGGACGACCUCAUUCUACGCUGGCUGCCGGCCUGCGGGGUGGUAUUGCAGCGCGUUUUAACGGAGCCCGUGCAGGACAUCAUCGUAUCACCGCUUAUGGCCGCCUUCUACGUUGCAAGCGACCGCGGCGACCUCUACAUGUACGACGCGUGGGAUGAGCGCAACGUCACGGACGGUCACCCCUGCAGCGCCGGCGAGGAUGCGGAUCCGUGCAGCAUGUACAGCAAGAGCCUGAGCACCGUGCAGACUCAUCGCCUUGUCCUUCCCGUUACGGAGGAAGGGCACCCACGUUUUCAUCGUGUCAGUCGCACGCUGCAGCACCAUCAGCCGUACGGCUACUCGUCGGUUUCGGCAUCACCGCACUCACGACGCUCACAGCAGCCACAGCAGCAAGACCGGUCCCUGCAUCAUGACACGCUUGACGACUCUGAUAUCAUUGACCAAGUGCACUCCAGCCGCUCCUCUGCGCACUACACAGGUCCCGUGACGCCGGUGUUCCAGCGAGUAGUGGACCCGUCGAGGGGGGCAUCAGGAUUGCAACAGCACGCCCCUUUUCACGCUCUCCAUCCCUCCUACAGCGACAGCACCGCGGCAGCGCAGGACAGCUUCUCCGACAACGGCAACGGUGCUCAGGGAGAUGAGGCCUCACCGUCGCGUCUUGCAGGAAGGUCAGCACAGGGCAGCAGUCACCGCAGAAGCGGCAGGCAGGCGAAGACAGGCACCGACAGCGUCGGAUGGACAGGGCUUCCUCGGCACCUGCGCUGGCUGCUGCCGCAUCAUUGGGCGCCGCACACGCCGUGGGAUGCGCAGCUGGGGCGCCGGCUCAUACGGAGCCUGCUGCGGCAGACGCACACCGCCACUCCCACUGACACUGGUCAGCUGUUCUACGAGCGCGACGAGGAGACCGCAGGUGUCGCGGCGGCUUUGGCGGUGGCAGGUGAUGAAAGCAACCAACCCUCGCUGACAGACGAGCAAGGGACCCCUGACAACACACAUCGUGGUCGUCGCCGCGGGCACCUGCACGGUGCAAGCGGGGACGCGGAGGGCAGCGUGCAUGGCACAGAGGAGGCAACGUACGGCAGCGGCGGCGGCCAACAAGACGCUUCCUCCGACGACGAGAGCAGCAGUCAUGACAGUGAGGAACGGGAGUACGUGUACACGGCCGGUGCCGACUACGACGACGACGACGAUGGCGCUCGCCGUCCGCUGCCGUCGCACGUAAUUUACGGGGGUGGCAGCAGCCACAUCGCAAGCGAAGCAACCGCCGCUGCAGCGGCGGCGGCGAAAGGGACACCAGUGUCUGUGCUUGAGUGCGCGGCGCACCCGACGCCCGCGCGCGGACCGCUUCAGCGCGCGUACUACCCCAGCGGCGCCUGCCUCGUGUAUAAGAGCGUCGCCAAGGCUCUCUGCAACGCCGGCGACCUCACAGAUCGCCAGACUCAGAACGAGAUGGGACCUGGUGGGUCGACGCACCAUCUGCUCUCCAUGGCCUUCUCUGGAGAGCCGCAGUGGAUGUCAGAGCAACGGCUGUGGGACUGUGAGGCGGAGGAAGCGGGGGCAUCGCAGACGUGGCAACGCACCCCCCACCGAAGCGGCGCAGCGGCCGACUACGACUACGGCGACGCACACGAUGGUUCACAGCUGCAGCAGUGCGACGGCGAGGCUGGAGCCGACUCCUUCAACAGGCUGUCCGCGCCACUCACGUUGUGGUCAACAGCGGCAUUGUCUCGCGUGCUCCUGUGGAAGGACUACUUGAGCUCCUCUCGCCACCUCGCAGGACCAAAGGCGGAAACGUGGGCGAAGUGGGAGUCCGACGUCCUUGCCACCACGUAUCACGCGGACUUGUUGCCGCCGUCGUACACUCGCCAAGCAGGGGGCUCGAGAGAGCCGCGCUGGUCAGCGGCAGAGUUGCUCGCUGCACGCGGCUAUCUCGGCCCUCGUGAUGCGUGGCGCCGCUGCGCGCCUGCAUCACAGCGCGGCUUGGCCGCCACCGCCCGCAAUGGCCGGUACCUCUGCAUCAUGGCCUCCGUCGGUCCGUACCGCAAGCUGGUGAACCCGCGCGAGCCGCUGCGCGACAUGGCUGGCUUUUACGCGUGCGUUGUCUUCGACGUCUACGCUGGAGCCGUUCUGCGCGUCAUUCCGGUGUGUCCGACAGAGCUCAGCGGGCUGCGCGGGCGGUGCAUGUGGACGUCGGAGCGGCACGAGAGCGACCCCAAGGCACCGAUUUAUCGUCUGCCGUGCACUGUAACGGUGGUGCCGCUACCCGCCUCAUCCGCAGCAACGGCAGCUGCAGGGAAGAGCGCGAGUCAGUCCUCGCCGGCGAGAGCGUGCGUGGGUGCGAGCGGGUCACCAACGGGGCUGCCGCCAAGCAGGAGCGUGACAGCAGCCCCGUGCGACGAGGGCGUCGCUGGCGACGAGGAAGACGGCGAGCCGGCGGAAGUGGUCAUGCUCACGGUUGGUGGCCUCGGCAACUGCGUCUAUGUUUUCGACGCCCUCAGCGGUCGGCGUCUCGUGUGCGAGACGGAAACGGCGCGCCACUGCGGUGAAUCUGCCGCUGCCGCGUAUGAGGCGACCGCACGGGCGGCCAAAGUGCGGGCGAAAGGCCGGGGCGCGCAAUCAGAGAGCGUGAGGUCAGACCCUAUCCCUGCGAUGUCUCACAUACCGGCGACUUCGGCGGCCGCGUCAACUGUCCCUUCGGCGCCACCGCCGCUCUCCGCCACCGUGGCCUCUCCGAUUCUCCCUGCAUCGAUUCGGAAGCCGGUGGACGUGCUUGCCUCGGUCGCGGCGUGGGGUCGUGGCACCGGCUUCGAUGGCAUCACAGACCAUUCAUCCUCUACCGCAUCCAGCCCAGGCCCGUCACCGAUACGUGGGAUGGACGGCGGCAUGGGCGAAGACAGCUCCGUCGACGUGCAACCAGUCCAUUCCGCCCCCGAAGCACAGGUAGCAGCCACUGCUUUAGCAGUGUCCGAGGCGGUCGCCCAAACCGGCGCGCCAGUGCCGUGGCUGCUACAGGGCACCACCUUCUCGCAACUCAGUGGAUGGCAUCUGCGCGGCAUUCUCUGGUGGGUCCACGAACACCCGCAGCCCUCCACGCUCUACGGAGGCGACGACGGCGGAGCGGUGGUCGAGCAGGAUGCGAGUUGGAACCUGGGCAGCGCCUCAUGGGGCGAAGCGGGCACGCGUGUUAAUCGCGGUGGCAUGAACGGCAACGGCAGCACCCGUGCCGCGGCCGCACGCACACGAGGCGCCGCAACGAACGGAGGCUCUGCCAACAACGUCGCAGCCUCGUCGUUAUCGUCGGCCUCCCAUAUGUCGGCAGCGAGCUCUGCAUUGUCCUUCUUUUACCAAACGCUUCUUGGUGUGUCAGGCAUGACGGGCAGCGGUGCAACUCCCCCACCCACAGGCCCGUCUGUCACGUCAUCGCAGCCGCAUUCUCGACAGCACCACGCGGCCGAGUCGUCGUCCUCGGCCCUCAGCGCGGCAUAUCCCUCCUACGGCUCCGUGUGGCGGCAGCGGCGUCGCCGUCUGCUCGAGCGGCUACUGCGCCACUAUGACGUAGGAAUGCUCUGGCAGGCGUAUGUCACACUCUUUAGUGCGUCGACGACAGCGACGAGCUCACUAGCGCCGCAGUCGGCGGUCUGCGCGCUCGUGCAGUGGGCACUGUCGACAGACAAGGCGGCCACAGCCGCCGCUGCUUUGCUAGGGCCGUCUGACAGCCACACUCGGUGGAUCUGGUGUCUAACCCAUGAUUCCCUGGCAGGCUGCAAGGGUCCCUACGCUCCAUCGAAGCAGCUGCGCCUGUUCGUAAACACAGGAAAGCGCGCGACGGCACGCAGCCGCGACGUCGAGCAUGUUGAGGUGGGCGGCGGAGGCGCCAGCGGGGGUGCGGGUGACCGCAGCACUGUGCCAUUCGCGCAUAUUCUCCAGCAGCGUGAAGACUUCAUGUUUGAGCUGCAGGCGCUGGAUACGCAGCAGCAGCAGCAGCAGGCAAUGGCGGGUGCGGCAGCAGCAGCAUCGCCUGCGCGGUCAAUCGCUAACGGCCACGCGAAAUCGCUCCUCUCCGGCGUGCGUGCACAAGCCAUGGCGGAGGGCAUGCUCCCCACCACGGCUAAGGGACGCGGUGCGCAACCGCAGCAACGAUCCACCGCAGCGGCUCAUGAGUUGUCAUCCUCUGCAGCGAUCAAGCUGCCGCCCUCGCACCACCAAAACCAGCUGCACGUGGAUGUUGUCAACUGCGUGGCAUCAUGGUUCGACGCCAACGGCGGCUUCUACGUUUGUUGGGGCUCUGAGGAUGGAGGACUCUACAUCAUGGGCGGCCACGUAAUGGAUUAGCCGCACCGGCGCGGACGCGUGUGUCCUCACGGCGGACGGAGAAGGCGCGAGAGAUGAAGGAGGGGGAGGGUGUGUAGUGCAUCAAGGCGAAACGGCACACUUUCUGCUCUCCCUCUCUUGUUCUUCCUGCCGCGUUUCCGCGCGUCCACGCACAUGGUACUUCUCCUGCCAUCGUUCACCUUUUCUUAUCUUCUUGCUCGCAUGGAUGUCCCUCACCGGGGCAAUAGGGCCGGACCCACACUGUUGUGUCGCUGCCAUUGCAUGUCUUUGCACGCUGAUCGAUGCUUCCUUUUCCUUUGCUCCGUCUAUGUUCAUUUUGUUCUGCCCUUCGCGUGUGCACUGUGCUUUUCUGCAUUGUGCCCAUGGAUUGUGCACGCCGCACAUGCGCAUGUGCAUGUGUGUGUGUGUGUGUGUGUGUGUGCUGCCGCUUUCUUCUUAUACACUCGCCAGCCACAUCUGGCCCACCGGCUCUCCGCCAAAGUCCACGCCUCGUUGCAGAAGCGUGCCUCCGCCCUUUCUUUCAGUCACGGACGGAGGGCCACCAUCACCGCCGCCACCACCCACCCCACUACCCCUCCCCACAUUCCACAGACGGACAGGCAAACACGCCGACUAUACCUCUCACCCAACUUCUCUCUUCCUCUUACCUUAUGUGUCUGCGUACGGUGUGUUUGAUGAUGUACCUCCCCUCCCCCUACCUCUUCCUGUUAUCCUUCCUGGAUACUCUUCGUAUUGCUGUCGCGGUUGCGGUGUCCUGAUGUGCGCGCGGAUUAUGCACGCCUUUGUGUUGUCUUUCGCCCCCCCCUCCACUUUCCCCGUUUCUAUCUAUCUCUUCAUAUUCUGCGAGCCACUCGCUGCCACGCACAUGCGCGGACGCGCACAGGCCGUUGUGUGCGUCCGCGUGCAUCUGCGGGCACGGGAC